rnacentral:piRNA from 1 species
UCAGAUAUUCCAUGGAUUACACAUUAUAAU